rnacentral:rRNA from 1 species
UGGGGAAUAUUGCACAAUGGGCGCAAGCCUGAUGCAGCCAUGCCGCGUGUGUGAAGAAGGCCUUCGGGUUGUAAAGCACUUUCAGCGAGGAGGAAGGUGGUGAACUUAAUACGUUCAUCAAUUGACGUUACUCGCAGAAGAAGCACCGGCUAACUCCGUGCCAGCAGCCGCGGUAAUACGGAGGGUGCAAGCGUUAAUCGGAAUUACUGGGCGUAAAGCGCACGCAGGCGGUUUGUUAAGUCAGAUGUGAAAUCCCCGGGCUCAACCUGGGAACCGCAUUUGAAACUGGCAAGCUAGAGUCUCGUAGAGGGGGGCUAGAAUUCCAGGUGUAGCGGUGAAAUGCGUAGAGAUCUGGAGGAAUACCGGUGGCGAAGGCGGCCCCCCUGGACGAAGACUGACGCUCAGGUGCGAAAGCGUGGGGCAGCAAACAGGAUUAGAUACCCUGGUAGUCCACGCUGUAAACGAUGUCGAUUUGGAGGUUGUGCCCCUUGAGGCGUGGCUUCCGGAGCUAACGCGUUAAAUCGACCGCCUGGGGAGUACGGCCGCAAGGUUAAAACUCAAAUGAAUUG